CUACGGGACGCUGCAGUGGGGAAUAUUGCACAAUGGAGGAAACUCUGAUGCAGCAACGCCGCGUGGAGGAUGACACUUUUCGGAGCGUAAACUCCUUUUAUAUAGGAAGAAGAUGACGGUACUAUAUGAAUAAGCGCCGGCUAACUCCGUGCCAGCAGCCGCGGGUAAUACGGAGGGCGCAAGCGUUACUCGGAAUCACUGGGCGUAAAGAGCGUGUAGGCGGAUUAAAAAGUCAGAAGUGAAAUCCUAUAGCUUAACUAUAGAACUGCUUCUGAAACUCUUAAUCUAGAAUGUGGGAGAGGUAGAUGGAAUUUCUGGUGUAGGGGUAAAAUCCGUAGAGAUCAGAAGGAAUACCGAUUGCGAAGGCGAUCUACUAGAACAUUAUUGACGCGGAGACGCGAAAGCGUGGGGAGCAAACAGGAUUAGAUACCCGAGUAGUC
rnacentral:rRNA from 1 species